UCCGGGGUAGCUCAACCGGCAGAGCGUCGGACUGUUAAUCCGCAGGUUGAGGGUUCGAGUCCCUCCCCCGGAGCCA
rnacentral:tRNA from 1 species